AUUUAAGACGUGGUAUAAAAGGGGUGCUACCUGCCAGUUAGCCCACACUCACUUUCUUGGUUUCGAAAUUCGAAAAAAAAAAACGAAAAAAAGAAAAAGAAUAUGAGAGAGGAAGUGAUAAGCUCCGGAGGCAUCGUUGAUCCCACUCCUGCCGCCAGUUCUGCUGGGGCAUCCUCACCUGCUGUUCCAACACAUGUUGGCAGUAUAGAUGGUUCCAGUCAUGGGCAGGGCUCCAAGGCAGCUUCUCUUUCAUGUGUUGGUUCACAACCACCAUGGACUUCCUUGAGCACCAGUGCUGGUGGUUCUGCCUUUGGAUCAUCAAGACGCUCAUGUAGACCAUGGGAAAGGGGGGAUUUAUUGAGGCGCUUGGCUACCUUUAAGCCUUCAAAUUGGUUUGGAAAGCCUAAGGUCAUGAGUACAUUGGCUUGUGCUCAAAAAGGUUGGGUUAAUGUUGACGUUGACAAGAUUGCAUGUGAAUCAUGCGGUGCAUUUCUUAGUUUUGUUUUGUUACCAUCAUGGACCUCUUCUGAAGUUCAAAAUGCCGGUGAAGCAUUUUCCAAGCAGCUGAAUGUGGGGCACAAGGUCAAUUGUCCUUGGCGAGGAAACAGCUGCCCCGAAAGUCUGGUGCAGUUUCCUCCUACUCCUCAGUCUGCCUUAAUUGGGGGUUAUAAGGAUAGAUGUGAUGGGCUUUUGCAAUUUCAGUCCCUUCCAAGGAUAGCUGCAUCUGCAAUUGAGCAGAUGCGAUUUUCUCGAGGUCCUCAAGUUGACCGGUUUCUCUCCCAGUCGCAGAAUUUUAUGGCAGGGGAAGUAGAUUUUAAACCAGAAAGUGUACCAGAAUUAGAAAGCUCUCGCGAUGGGGCAAUCUGUUUAUAUUCUUGUGCUCAGAAGCUCAUAAGCCUCUGUGGAUGGGAAUCAAGAUGGCUUUUAAAUGUCCAAGACUGCGAGGAACAUUCUGCUCAAUCAGCUAGAAAUGGAUAUUCUUUUGGACCUAACCAGGCCCAGGUCCACCUUCCACAGGAUCCUGGACCAAGCAAGAAAGCCCUCUCUGCUUCAGCUAAAAGGGACACCGGAAAGAGUACAAUGUUGGUUAAGGAGUCUAGAUCACCUUUGCUGGAUUGCAGUUUAUGUGGUGCUACAGUUAGAAUAUUGGAUUUCUUAACUGUUCCUCGACCUGCUCGCUUUAGUUCUAAUAAUCUAGACCUUCCUGACACAAGUAAGAAAUUGGGGUUGACUCGUGGAGUAAGUGCAGCUAGUGGAAUUAGUGGUUGGGUUGCUGCUGAUGAUGCUGAGAAAGAGCAGACUGCAGACCGUGAUGAAGUAGCAACAACUGGGGGCAAAUCACUGCUGAACAAUGAUGUUGAUUUGAAUCUCACAAUGGGAGGUGCUUUACCUUUUAACCAGUUGGGAAGGGCAGCAAUGUCAGAAAAUAUUCAUGAUGGAGAUAUGGGAAGGGAUUUGAUGAUUGGGCAACCUUCAGGCAGUGAAGUUGGUGAUCGUGCAGCUUCAUAUGAGUCACGGGGUCCUAGUUCACGCAAAAGGAGUUUGGAAAUAGGUGGCAGCUCAGAGGAUAGGGCACACUUAAGGGUGCAGCAGGCUGAUAGUGUUGAAGGAACUGUUAUUGAUCGUGAUGGUGAUGAAGUAACAGAUGGUAGACAAUAUUCAGCUGGGCCUUCAAAACGAGCUCGUGACUUGGAUAUUUUUGAUUCAUACUGUUCACCAUAUCAGAGAGAUUCUAGUGCUGGCCCUAGCCAUUCAAUGGGUUUUGAAAUCUAUGCUGAUGGCAAUAGAGUUACUUCCUUCCGGCAAAGACAUGACCAGCAUAUGGGAAUCCAAGCAACUAGGGAUUCAACUCGUGCGUCUUCGGUCAUUGCUAUGGAUACUGUCUGUCAUAGUGCAAACGAGGACUCUAUGGAAAGUGUUGAAAAUUAUCCUGGAGACAUUGAUGAUGUUCAGUUCCCCUCUUCAAGUACAUAUGGAAAUCUGGACAUAAAUGAUGCAUCGGAAUUAAACUACAGUAACCAAGCUCAGCAAAGUAUUGGUUUCCGACCGGUUGCUGAAGUAGCUCCUGGGGAAAUGGGUGUUAGCAGUACAAAUGAUGGGGAAGAAAUUUUCAAUGCAGAAACUGUAACUGCUCAGCCCCGGGAUGGGGUUAGUUUUGGAAUCAGCGGAGGAAGUGUUGGAAUGUGUGCUAGUCAUGAAGCUGAAAUUCAUGGGGCUGAUGUAUCUGUCCACAGAGCAGAUAGUGUAGUUGGUGAUGUGGAACCCAGAAUAGAAGAUGCAGAAAAUCAGGGGCAAACAGGUGAAUCUGUCCCAGAUCCUGGAUUAAUGGAUGAAAUUGUCCCUGAUGAAAUCAAUAGGGAAGACCCUCAUGGCAAUAGUCAGGAGAUGUUGUCACGAUCUCUAGGGAGGGCUGAUAGUGGCUCAAAGAUUGAUGGUUCUGCUAAGGCUGAAUCUGUUGAAAGUGGUGAAAAAAUAAGUCCAAGCUGCAAGUUAGUUUUAGAGAAUUGUGCCCACCCUUCCCUUUCAUGCAAUGCAAAUGUAUGCUCUGGUCGUGAAACAAGCAAGCAAGAAGUAACAAAGGCUGGCAAAUCUUCAUUUACAAACAAUUGUGUGUACUCUGAGUCAGAUUAUGCAGUUGCAAAUGGGAUUGAACCUCCAAAAGGGGAGAGCAAUUAUGAAGAAGGUGUUGAAUUUGAUCCAAUUGCUCAUCACAACCAGUUCUGUCCCUGGGUGAAUGGAAAUGUUGCCGCUGCUGGUAGCAGUAGCAGUGGUUCUGGUACAAGCGUUGAUGCUGUUGCACUUUGUGGUUGGCAACUGACCAUAGAUGCUCUUGAUGCCCUGCGAUCACUUGGGAAUGUUGCAAUUCAGACAGUGCAGUCUGAAUCAGCUGCAUCUCUGUACAAGGAUGAUCACCAAACCCCGGGCCAAAAGCUCCUUCGACAUCACUCUAUGAGCAGAAGUCAUGGGAAACAUUGACCAUUGAAUCAUAGUGAUGGUAAUGAAGGUCUCACAGUUUUGAGUUUGAGUUGGAUUGGUUGUUACUGUUCAGCUUGUUUUACACCGUCCAAGUAUUGCCAUGGGAUCAGAAUACAUAUCCAAUCUUGGGAAGAAAACUGAAAUCAGAUUUGGCUAGUUUUAAGCGGAGCGGCUGCUGGGGGAAGCUCUGGCAGUGUUUUUUAAAUUUUAAAUUUUUUUUUUUUUGAAAUUUUCCUCUUUAUGAGUAACAUAAUUUAUUUAUGUUGGAAUCCCCAGGUGUUUUUCUAGUGCAACAAUACUGUUGUAUUUUUUAGGAGUUUUUGGUGAUGGUUAUUUAGUCAAUCAGUGAUGGGAGACUGAUUUCCAUUUGACUCUGCAACAUUUGAACAAUUGCAAUCCUUCUUUUCUCUGUAAAAAUUGUUUCGACAGCUUCCUUUUUUAACAAGGUUCAUAUUACUGCGGGUUUGUGUAUGUA